AUGUCUAAUCCCACGCGCGAGGCCACGAGAGAGCAGAGGAGUAGAGGGGGUCGAAGGAAAGAAAACCACAAGGGUCGACUGCCUUUUUCUCUCCUCCUCCUCGCUGUCCUCCAUGCUACUCACCUACCACCAGAUCGAACCAGGGGAUUGAGGGGAACCAGCAGAAGAACCAGAUCGAAGGAGAGAGAGGGAGAAGAGGGUGCCGGGAGACUGGCGGUGGUGCCCGAUCCACCACGAAGCUGCCCCGAUCUUACCGGCGAUCCACCGCUCCUCUCCAAUGACGACGCUGACCUGCUGCACUUCCUCGUCUCCAACCUCAAGAUCGACCACCGCUGCUCAGCUCCAACUCCUGCUGCUGCGACCUCCCUGACCGACGAUCUCUGCCACUCCUUCUCUCUUCCUCCUCGCUGCUGA
rnacentral:rRNA from 1 species